ACGGGAGGUGAAAGAAGUGCGGGUGCAGCCAGCGCUGCUGGCAGCAGGCAUUGUCAAAGAUGCUGGCAGCAGAUGCAUCAUUCGCCGACAGCAGGUGGUGUUGAUGACGCUGGCAGCGGAUGGCGGUGACGUUCUAGCAGCAGGGUACGUCGAAGGUGCUGUCAGCAGAUGCGUGGACUUCAGGUUGGAGAAGAAAUUGCAAAGAAAAGAUAAGAUAAAGGGACUCACUCCCUACGGACUCGCUCCGGUCGACGCAUAAAUGCGAAGAAAUAUUAGAGAACACAUCUCAUAGGAAAUAGUAAUAUUCUUCUUCAUUGAUUAAUUAUCGUCCAAUACAUAGAAUAUUUAAAGAGCUUUCCUGACAGUGAUAAGCUCAAAACAAAUUCCUAACAAUAAAAUCUCUACCAAAUUAACAACUUUCAUAACAACUACUAGAUAAAAUCCUAAUAAUAAAAUCUUUACCAACUUAACAACUUCCAUAACAUCUUCUAGAUAAAAUCCUAACAAAAUCCUAACAACCUGAUAAGCUCAAAUAACCGAAAAGCGAAUAUCCUAG
rnacentral:lncRNA from 1 species